rnacentral:rRNA from 1 species
GCAGCAACGCCGCGUGAGCGAUGAAGGCCUUCGGGUCGUAAAGCUCUGUCCUCAAGGAAGAUAAUGACGGUACUUGAGGAGGAAGCCCCGGCUAACUACGUGCCAGCAGCCGCGGUAAUACGUAGGGGGCUAGCGUUAUCCGGAAUUACUGGGCGUAAAGGGUGCGUAGGUGGUUUCUUAAGUCAGAGGUGAAAGGCUACGGCUCAACCGUAGUAAGCCUUUGAAACUGGGAAACUUGAGUGCAGGAGAGGAGAGUGGAAUUCCUAGUGUAGCGGUGAAAUGCGUAGAUAUUAGGAGGAACACCAGUUGCGAAGGCGGCUCUCUGGACUGUAACUGACACUGAGGCACGAAAGCGUGGGGAGCAAACAGGAUUAGAUACCCUGGUAGUCCACGCCGUAAACGAUGAGUACUAGCUGUCGGAGGUUACCCCCUUCGGUGGCGCAGCUAACGCAUUAAGUACUCCGCCUGGGAAGUACGCUCGCAAGAGUG